UAAGGGGCGAAAGUCUGACGGAGCACGCCGCGUGAGUGAUGAAGGUUUUCGGAUCGUAAAGCUCUGUUGUUAGGGAAGAACAAGUGCCGUUCAAACAGGGCGGCACCUUGACGGUACCUAACCAGAAAGCCACGGCUAACUACGUGCCAGCAGCCGCGGUAAUACGUAGGUGGCAAGCGUUGUCCGGAAUUAUUGGGCGUAAAGCGCGCGCAGGCGGUCUCUUAAGUCUGAUGUGAAAGCCCACGGCUCAACCGUGGAGGGUCAUUGGAAACUGGGGGACUUGAGUGCAGAAGAGGAAAGUGGAAUUCCACGUGUAGCGGUGAAAUGCGUAGAUAUGUGGAGGAACACCAGUGGCGAAGGCGACUUUCUGGUCUGUAACUGACGCUGAGGCGCGAAAGCGUGGGGAGCAAACAGGAUUAGAUACCCUGGUAGUCCACGCCGUAAACGAUGAGUGCUAAGUGUUAGAGGGUUUCCGCCCUUUAGUGCUGCAGCUAACGCAUUAAGCACUCCGCCUGGGGAGUACGGUCGCAAGACUGAAACUCAAAGGAAUUGACGGGGGCCCGCACAAGCGGUGGAGCAUGUGGUUUAAUUCGAAGCAACGCGAAGAACCUUACCAGGUCUUGACAUCCUCUGACAACCCUAGAGAUAGGGCUUUCCCCUUCGGGGGACAGAGUGACAGGUGGUGCAUGGUUGUCGUCAGCUCGUGUCGUGAGAUGUUGGGUUAAGUCCCGCAACGAGCGCAACCCUUGAUCUUAGUUGCCAGCAUUCAGUUGGGCACUCUAAGAUGACUGCCGGUGACAAACCGAGAGGAAGGGUGGGGGAUGACGUCAAAUCAUCAUGCCCCCUUUAUGACCGUGGGCUACACACGUGCUACAAGUGCACGGUACAAAGGGCAGCAACGACCGCGAGGUUUAGCAAAUCCCAUAAAACCGUUCUCAGUUCGGAUUGCCAGGCUGCACUUCGUCUGCCAUGAGCUUGGAAUUCGCUAGUAUCGCGGUAUCAGCAUGGCGCGAUGAUACCGUUCCUGGAUCAUGGUACCACACCCGUGGA
rnacentral:rRNA from 1 species